CUGGGAAGUGGGGCACCAGGAGCCACUGGAUCGUGGAGUCUGACUUCAAAAGGAUCACUUGACAGUUGGAGGCCCUGGCAUCCAAGUCAAAGAAAACUCAUCAGUGGGCCAGUUCCAGCUGCUGUGUCAUUGGUUUUCAGUCUUAGGUCAAAAGCAGUGCCUGCAUCAUGAAGAUGGGGAAACUGAGGCCCAGAAAUGAGAAGAGAAUUGUUGAGGUAAAAAUCAAUCCAUUUUAGACUAAGCUGGAGUCACACUCAUUAGUAUGCCUUAUAGUUUC
rnacentral:lncRNA from 1 species